rnacentral:rRNA from 1 species
AUUGAACGCUGGCGGCAGGCCUAACACAUGCAAGUCGAGCGCGCGGCGGACGGGUGAGUAAUGUAUGGGGACUGCCCGAUAUAGGGGGAUAACUCCUGGAAACGGUAGCUAAUACCGCAUACUAUCGGAUAACCCAUAUGGGAUUAGCUAGUAGGUGGGGUAAUGGCUCACCUAGGCGACGAUCCCUAGCUGUUCUGAGAGGAUGAUCCGCCAAACUGGGACAGCGACACGGCCCAGACUCCUACGGAGGCAGCAGUGGGGAAUAUUGCACAAUGGGGGCAAGCCUGAUGCAGCCAUGCCGCGUGUAUGAAGAAGGCCCUAGGGUUGUAAAGUACUUUCAGUCGGGAGGCGUUACCGACAGAAGAAGCACCGGCUAACUCCGUGCCAGCAGCCGCGGUAAUUC